CCCGCUUGCAUAGUCUCCAACACUUUCUGGCGUCCAUUGACCCAAGAAAACAGAGCCUGCAUUUUCAAUAAAACUCUCCCACUUUUCUGCAUCUUUUACAUUAACAAUCAGAUGCUCAGGUGCAUAUAAGUUUGAAAAGGAGAUGGCCUCAACCAUAUCACGAGCAAAGACAGUAAAACUAUGGCUCAGUGCUUUUGAAGCAUAUUCUCCCCUUGGUAGGCUUAGACAUUGCUUACUGAUUUCCUCUUCAAUAGAUUUCAGAUCCACACCAUCCCCAACAAUUACAAGAACAACCUGGCUA
rnacentral:misc_RNA from 1 species